rnacentral:lncRNA from 1 species
CCGCUUGGGACGCGCCGGCGGAGGAGUGGCGCGCGGAGGAGUGGCGCGCUGAGACGCCGCUCGAAGCGCCGAGUCGCGGGGCAGCAGAGGCGUAAGGAGUAGGCGGGGCGAGCCGGCUGGGCUCAGGGUCCACCAGCUCACCCGGGUCGAGGGGCAAUCUGAGGCGACUGGUGACGCGCUUAUCCACUUCCCUCCUCCCGCCUCCCCCUGGGGUGGCGCUCGCUGGUGACGUAGUGAGUGUGAUGGCCGCCGCGAGGCCGGGAAGGUGAAGUCAGGACUGGUGGAGUCAACACAGUCAAUCAAUAGCCAACCUCAACCUGAGACAGGACAGAAGAGAACUCAGAAUCUUUUUGUCUUUUGGACUUCAGCCAUGUCCAUGAUGCCUACCCUGUGAAGAUCUCUCACCAUCCAAAAAAUUGUGCCAGCAGACGAUCCGUGGAUCCAUUUUAUUUUCCCUGCUAGGAGUUGCUGUACAUAACACUGGCGCAAUGUCCCUGCUCUUCUCUCGAUGCAACUCUAUCGUCACAGUCAAG